ensembl:lncRNA
UCUGGGCUAAAGGUAGAGUAAUGGCCCCCUCUGUUUCCCCCGCACGUCAACAUACCAAAGAACUCAAAUUCACAAAAGGAAAUCAUCACAUUUACACUGAUGCCAGCUUCAAAUGAAGUCCAGCUAAGACAGAGAGGGAGAUUAAGCUUGAGCAAAUUGACAACAGACAGACACAGAGUGCGAAGCUGUGGGUUGUUUUAAUGCUAGAGACAGCAAAGGUGAUCUUAUUAAGAAGUGAGGGAGGAAGAGAGGGGAAGGAAUGAGGGGAGGAAGGAAAGACACCAUUUAGGGCUACCCGCUCUGUGGCAUGGCAGAGGCUAAAACAGGACAUAACUUGUGAACUUAAAGGUUAGUGCCGUUACCAUGGCGAGGGCUGGGCGCCCUGCAUCUGAGAGCUACCAGCCAGCUUGCUUUUCUGUCAGUCAGUCGCUCUCUUACUCCAGUGGAGCUCCAAAGGUGGAGGAUGAAGAUGAUCAGGCACCGAUUUUCUCCCUCUCUAAGAGCUCCAUGGAUGUUUUAAUGGCUGCAAGUCCGCCACACAAGCGUGAUCCAUCGUGGACCAGACUGGACCUGAGGCGCAGCUCAAGCACAAACACCCACUAUGAGCAGAACUCCGUGACACUGCAGCCGCUGCACGCUUACAUGUGGCAACAUGUCAACACCACCAACAGCCACCAGUUAGCAUCCACAACCAAUAAUGUUAACAUCAAUAGCUCUCCUGCUCUCAGCGAGCAUUGGGUUUCCAACAUGCAGCGAUGGAGUGGGUGUAGUGGUAGCACACAUAGCCGCAGCAGCACUCCAGACACAGUCGUGUCACGCCCCUCCAGUCUCAUCCAUGAAGCCACUUGUUCUGCAGCACCAGAUUCUCCGAUGUCCAAACUGACCUCUCCAGAAACCACACCCUCACCGUUCAUCUCCCCGCUCAACACGCCUACUUUACCACCUGUACAGACUUCUUCUUCACCACUUCCACUGAACUCACUGCAGCAGGAAGAUUUACUAGAACUUUCACCUGCAUUCUCAUCCCCAAAGAUUGACAACUCUUCAAGCUUUCAGUCCCACUCUCCUGAAACACUCCAGCUCACCAGCACAGAAGAUGAAGGCUUCUUGGAGAAUAAUUCCCUUUCAUUUCAGUUCCCUUCCCCAAUCCUGUCCUCUGUUAGUUUAGAUGAAGCAGGAGUGUCUUCAAAUCCCGAAUGCCUUGUUGAUGACGUGAUAGAACUGCUGUCCAGCCCUACAGGAAUACUGGAGGGUGAAGAAGCAAGAAGCCCUGUGCAAAUGCUUAGCUACCUGACACCUGAUUCUCCAAAGCAGCAGUCAAAAACAGGACCAUCUGUCUGCUAUCUUGAGCUGCCGUGGCAGCCAGAGCAAAUCUGUGCAACAGGUCGAGGUUGGGGGUCACCACUUGUCUCUUCCCUGAGUGACUCACGGUUGGGUGACACUUGCAGGUGCUGCUUAAAUGCCAGAGAGGGCACUGAAAGGGCAAUGAAGGUAGAGCUGUUCAGGCAAGAAGCUCCACCAGUGUCACGGCCAGAAAUGGCAGAUGCAGCUGUGCAGACGGUCUCUCCUGUUGGCUCAUGGUGGGACCUCAAGAGGAACAUUUCCACAUCCAACAUGGGGUCCCAUUCUAUCUUGGGCUCGCCACCUGGAUCCAGACUGAACCUGAAGUCUUCAGCAGGGUCUAACUCCAAUCUAGUAUCAGCAUCUUCCAGCAUGUUCCCAGUUAGCAGUGCAGAGGAGGAGGAAAAACAAGUUGAAGACCCUGCAUUGGAAGUUACCUCUGUUUCUUCACAUGAUCUGGAGAGCAGGAGGCCGUGUCUGAAGAUUCAGGCAGAGGAUAGGGAUGAGCUAGGUAGAAGGAGGAGCAGUAUGAAGCAGGUGCAAUGGGAUGAGGAUGGUAUGACAUGGGAUGUUCAUGGGGCAUCUGUGGACCCUGAAGAGUUGAACACAGCCAUACUAAAACAUCUGGAAAGCAAGAACAGCCCAGAACCGCCAAGACGUUCCUCAAAGAAGAAGAAAGCACCUAAACCUCCUCAAAACCUUGAUAUCACUGUGUCCCCUAAGAAUGAAGGAACAGCAGAAGCAGAACAGGGUAGAGAAGAAGAGCAGGAAGGAGGGGGAAAUAAGAUAGAAAUAGAAGAAGCUUCACAGAAAAAGAGUACAGCAGAAGAUGACAAAGCAAAAGAAGAUGAGCAAGAGAUUUGUGGAGAGGAAGGCAGCCACCAUUCUAAGUCCCCCUCAUCUGGGAAUGGACACAGCCGGAAGAAGAGUGUGUUAAGGUCACUGAGGAGGCCAAGAUGGUGUGGAGCCUCCACAAAGGCAGAUGACUAAUAUAGCUGGCUAAAUUAAAUCUAUGAUAACUAAUUAAAUCCUCAGGUUGCACAAUAUUCAUAACCUUGGAUUGAAGCUGAAAGAGUUUCAGAGUUCUGUUCAGCUCUAUUCUAGACUUUCUGUCAGCAUGUUUUCUGUUAUUAGGUACAUCUUUCAACAGGUGCAACAUUAGUAAUGUUUUCCUCUCUCACUGGUAUUCCCUGUUUAGUUGAAGAUAGAUGUAACUCUGCUAAACUUUUCAUAAAAGUCAACAGUCAUCACUAAAACUUGUUCCUGUAGAUGUACAAUAAAAUAUUGGUGUCCAUUGCUGAAAUUCUUUGGUUUGUGAGUGAUUACUACAAAUGAGCAACACAAUGGACAUAAGGAUAAGAAGUGAAGGGUAAGAGUUUUCUAUGUGCAAAGACAUGCUUUUUGGGUUCAUUCGUCAUUCUAAAUUGAAUCUAAAUAUUUUUUAUGUGUCUUAUCGAAUUCACAGCCUCAGACAUCUGUGAGACCCAAGUCGAGAUAUUUUCCACACUCUCCUUCAGACAUACUCGUACUACUGGAAAAACUCUGUUGUUUAGGUCAGGGAGUUUCCUUGAUGUAGCCUUUAGCAAGGCAGUACACACGUUGUCCACUGGUUGGCAGUGAAUGCAUUAUUAUUCUCACACCGCUACAAUCUGACAUUACUUUGACUUUGUACAAGAGAAUUGGCGUGCUACCAUAAGACCAGUUAAUGUCUGAUCCACUUGGCCAUUUGUAUUUUCAAAUGCACCGCUGUGGGUAAAGUCAAAAGUACAUGUGUAAAAACAGCCUGUUAGCCCUUUGAAGGUUUCGUAACUGUCCAGGGCUCUAGCCUCACUGAGCCCUAGUGUAAUAACCAGAUCAGAAAAGAGAUUGAUGGAUGGAUUGAUGUUCCUACACACAUUGGAGUUGGGGGCCAGUCGAACUAUUGCCCAACUCUUUUUGCUUAGUUUGUUUAGUUCAAGCAAAAUAAAUACAUACAUUGACAUUUCACUGCAAAUAAUUGUUAUGUACUGGGCAGGUUGCUGGUUACCAACCACUCCGCACAUUAUGACUUUAAUAAACACAACAAAGGAAUAUACACGGUAGCUAAGUUAGCUCUCUGCACAAAUAUGUGUUUUAUGUUAUUAAGCACGAAUCCCUUAAAAAUGUACUUUUGCGCGUUUGUGUUAAAACUAUGAAUGCACGAAUGUGUUUGUAAAUGGGUUUUUUAUUUAAAAAGUGCUACCUGGAGUAAAGGUCUGAGUCCUUCAAAACCUAUUACAAAAAUCUUCAACAACAGCAACAACAACAAAAUAAUAAAAUGAAAAUGUUUCAGAAAUACACAUUUUAUAAUUUUGGUCUCUUUUCUAAAAUGUGUAAUUGUUUGGCUACUUUGUUGUUUGAACUUUUGAAGCAACACAUCACCUCACUCAACUCGUUCACUGCGGGGGGAAAACACACACACAACGUUCAACUGUAUGUAAACUUGGUGAACCACAGUUGUGAGUUUUGGCCAUUCAGGCAUUGCCAUUCAGAUGAGCAGGCACAUUCUCUCUCAUUCACCAAGGGUAAAAAGGCUCAGCUCACUAGUGGCUUCUACUGCAGUUAUUGUUGUCAUAUUUUCACAGAUCUGGAUUUGUGUGUAGAAGAAGCAGGAGGGUCACUUGUAUUUUUAUGAAAAUUGAUAAGCCAAUAAGUUAUAAAUAAUUUACAAAAUAGUCUGUCAAAAGAAUUUAAUUUAGGUGACAUAAACACAUGAACACGUUGUUGUUAAUAUUUGGGUGAACGGACUGUAGUAGAAUCAAUAAUGGUUCUUUAAAGCUGAUAUAUUUUGUGCUAUUUAAAAGUUCAUAAAAUUUAAUAAAGAUGUAAAGUAUUCAAACACUUGUGGCUUUUAACGUCCUUCACCAAAAUACCCACGAGGUGAGUGACAAUUCAAAAAUAA